UUGAAGCUGCAUUUAUAGACUUCAAGAAGGCUUGGGACAGCUGAUAUGGCCGUUGAAAUAGGGCCAGCUGUCAUGAAAAAGCUGUUGGAUAAAGUCUGUCAUAAAGCAAGAGUAAUCACAGCUGCAUCCAAGAUCGAUCUUGAGAACCAGGAUUGAUCUUCGAAUUUGUUUGUGAUGAACUAACUUGUACUUUCUGAUUGUGUCAGAUGUCUG
rnacentral:lncRNA from 1 species